GCGGGCCGGUGUUAUGAGCCAUGCAGGGUCCGGGGCGGCGGCGGGCGGGAGUCAUGCAGGGUCCCGGGCCCGCGGGCGGGAGGAGCCCCAGGGGGACGCGGGGCUGCGCGUCCCGGGGGAGCCCGGCUCGGCAGUCUGGGCUCCCGGCUCGGCGCUCCGGGCUCCCGGCUCGGCAGGCUGGGCUCCCGGCUCGGCAGGCUGGGCUCUCCGCUCCUCCGGGAACCGGAGAGCGGCUCCGUGGCUGCCCUGCCGCUCCGGGCAUGUACAGUCAGUCGUGGAAUGGUUUGGGUCGGACGGGACCUGAACAUCUAGUGCCGCCCCCUGCCAUGGGCAGGGACACCACCACCCCGGGGUGCUCCGAGCCCCGUCCAGCCUGACCUGGGACACUGCCAGGGAUCAAGCACAGCAUCCCUGUGCCAGGCGGGCCGGCUCGGGGUGCCAGGGCACAGCCGUGGGGUGACAGCAGCGGGGCUGUGACCGUGCACACAGGGCGGCAGCAUCGCUCCCGUGCCGGGCUCUGACUGCUGCCCCGGCCGUGCAGAGAACAUAAACUUGUCACCAGUGUGUGCCCUCAGGUGAACGCUGGAGUGCGGCUGGGCUGGCUGCUGGGCCUGCACAGAGAGGGCCGCGAGGUGAUUCUGUGUUGGGGAGUGGCUGUGCUGCAGUCCUUUGGUGCAGUAACCAUGAGGCUGCAGAAAAAUCUGAUUCUGCUGUUGGAUUUCUUGUAUCUGUAAAAUCUCUCUUCUGGAGGUGCAGCUUUGAUCUCUAAAGCGACGAGCCGGCAGAGCGGGCAGGAUUCCUGGCUGGGGCUGGAUCUGGGAUGGACUCAGCACCCAGCAGCUCCCCACGCUGGGGCUGAGCAGUGCUCACAUCAGCCGUGGUGCUGAGGCCUCUCCCUGGCUUUGAUCCCGGCUCUCAUCUCCUGCAGCCGGUGCUGGGAGCUCGGCUGAGCCCCCUGCCAGCUCAGUGACUUCCCCACAGCAUCAAGGGACAGCAUUUCCCCGGCUCUGCCUGGAGAGAGGCUCCUGCAGCAGGGCUGGGUGCAGGAGGGAUGGCAGGAGCUGAGGAGCAGCCUCGGAGCGGCGAGCACGAAGGGCAGAGCUGCAGAUCCCCACUCUGUGCCUGGCAGGUACAAUCCAGCUCUGCCUCCAGGCCUGCCCUCCCUCGUUCCCUCCUGCCAGUCAGGAGAGGCUUUUAACUCACAUCUCAUUUCAGUCACUUAUCUCAGGAGGUGCUGGGUGUUUCAAACCCCACCAGCCCUCCUCGGAGCUGUGUCCUGCAGGGCAGCUGCUUCCCUGGGGAUCCCGAGAGCUCUGAGGUGAGCUCACAGCACACUGAACACACACAGCACGCCUCUUUCACUUGUGCUACAUUUCUCCUGGGGCACCAGGCUAAUACAUUUUAACUGUGUCUUUGUACAGAGAAAGAAGGGGGUUAUUUUCCCUCUCUGAUACUCAUAAGGAGGUUUUAGAACUCUGAAGUAGGGAGGUUACUUUGUUAACAUGAUUAUAAUUACACAUAGCCCUGGCCUGUGUCAAAUGGGUGGUAACUUUUACUUUUUCCAUGUAUUCUCACAUCUUGUGGGCUGGCAAAGGCCCGUGGGGAGCUCAUCCUUUUCUUCCAUCUAGAGAAACUUUAAAUAAUAACAGAAUGAGUAAAUAUGACUUAUGAAGCUUUAAGAAAGCCUUAGAAGUGCCCUUCAGCUGUGCUAAGCUGAUGUGACUGAGCCAAUGUAACUGAAGAGAGCAUCUGAGGAACAUUUUGUCAGUCGAGGCAGAAUCAAAGGCCUGGGUUAUACUUUA